rnacentral:rRNA from 2 species
GACCCCAGAUCAGUCGGGAUUACCCGCUGAAUUUAA